rnacentral:misc_RNA from 1 species
GGGAAUUUUCCGCAAUGGGCGAAAGCCUGACGGAGCAAUACCGCGUGAGGGAGGAAGGCUUUUGGGUCGUAAACCUCUUUUGUCAGGGAAGAACACAAUGACGGUACCUGACGAAUCAGCAUCGGCUAACUCCGUGCCAGCAGCCGCGGUAAUACGGAGGAUGCAAGCGUUAUCCGGAAUUAUUGGGCGUAAAGCGUCCGCAGGUGGUUAAUCAAGUCUGCUGUUAAAGCGUCCAGCUUAACUGGAUAUAGGCAGUGGAAACUGGUUGACUAGAGUUUGGUAGGGGUCACGGGAAUUCCCAGUGUAGCGGUGAAAUGCGUAGAUAUUGGGAAGAACACCAGCGGCGAAAGCGCGUGACUGGGCCGAACUGACACUCAUGGACGAAAGCUAGGGGAGCGAAAGGAUUAGAUACCCCUGUAGUCCUAGCUGUAAACGAUGACAACUAGGUGUUGCCCGUAUCGACCCGGGCAGUGCCGUAGCUAACGCGUUAAGUUGUCCGCCUGGGGAGUACGCACGCAAGUGUGAAACUCAAAGGAAUUGACGGGGGCCCGCACAAGCGGUGGAGUAUGUGGUUUAAUUCGAUGCAACGCGAAGAACCUUACCAGGGCUUGACAUGUCGCGAAUCCUCUUGAAAGGGAGGAGUGCCUUCGGGAGCGCGAACACAGGUGGUGCAUGGCUGUCGUCAGCUCGUGUCGUGAGAUGUUGGGUUAAGUCCCGCAACGAGCGCAACCCUCGUCGUUAGUUGCCAGCAUUCAGUUGGGCACUUUAGCGAGACUGCCGGUGACAAACCGGAGGAAGGUGGGGAUGACGUCAAGUCAGCAUGCCCCUUACGUCCUGGGCUACACACGUACUACAAUGCUGUGGACAAAGAGUUGCAAGCUAGCGAUAGCAAGCCAAUCUCAUAAACCACGGCUCAGUUCAGAUUGCAGGCUGCAACUCGCCUGCAUGAAGGCGGAAUCGCUAGUAAUCGCAGGUCAGCAUACUGCGGUGAAUACGUUCCCGGGCCUUGUACACACCGCCCGUCACACCAUGGGAGUUGGCCACGCCCGAAGUCGUUACUCCAACCGUUCGCGGAGGGGGACGCCGAAGGCAGGGYUGAUGACUGGGGAGAAGUCGUAACAAGGUAGCYGUACCGGAAGGUGUGGMUGGAUCACCUCYUUUUAGGGAGACCUCCCACUUUUAACCGAGAUCAUGUUGUUGAAUUACAAGAUGAGAGUAGGGUAAAAGCUGGUCAACCCAAGGUCGAGCAGAGUUUAGUGAAGGCUUUCAAACUUAUCUAGGUUUGGUAAUGGGCUAUUAGCUCAGGUGGUUAGAGCGCACCCCUGAUAAGGGUGAGGUCCCUGGUUUGWGUCCAGGAUGGCCCACCUAGGGGGUUUAGCUCAGUUGGUAGAGCGCCUGCUUUGCAAGCAGGAUGUCAACGGUUCGAGUCCGUUAACCUCCACUGGCUAAA